AUGGCCACCACCGCCCUCCUCCUCCGCGCCCACCACGCCUGCAGGCCGCCGCCGGCCCCGCAGCCGGGGCGGGCGGCGAUCGUCUGCAGGGCCACGGCGUCCGCGGGGCAGGCGCUGCGCUCGCUGGCCCCGCCGCCGCGGCCCGAGCUGCUCUCCCUCGACCUGCCCCGCUACGACCCGGCGCGCUCCCGGCCCGUCGACCUCGCCGUCGUGGGCGGCGGGCCCGCGGGGCUCGCCGUGGCGCAGCGCGUCGCCGAGGCGGGCCUCUCCGUCGUCUCCAUCGACCCCUCCCCGAGCCUCGUCUGGCCCAACAACUACGGCGUCUGGGUCGACGAGUUCGAGGCCAUGGGCCUCUCCGACUGCCUCGACACCGUCUGGCCCUCCGCCUCCGUCUUCAUCGACGACCACACCUCCAAGUCGCUCCACCGCCCCUACGCCCGCGUCGCGCGCCGCAAGCUCAAGUCCACCAUGAUGGACCGCUGCAUCGCCCACGGCGUCCGCUUCCACCAGGCCAAGGUCGCCAAGGUGGUCCACAACGAGGCCUCCUCCCUCCUCAUCUGCGACGACGGCGUCGCCGUCCCGGCCACCGUCGUCCUCGACGCCACCGGCUUCUCCCGCUGCCUCGUGCAGUACGACAAGCCCUACAACCCGGGAUACCAGGUCGCCUACGGCAUCCUCGCCGAGGUCGACGAGCACCCCUUCGACAUCGACAAGAUGCUCUUCAUGGACUGGCGCGACUCCCACCUCCCCGAGGGCUCCGCGAUCAAGGAGCGGAACAGCCGCGUGCCCACCUUCCUCUACGCCAUGCCCUUCUCGCCCACCAGGAUCUUCCUCGAGGAGACGUCGCUGGUCGCGCGCCCGGGGCUCUCCAUGGACGACAUCCAGGAGCGCAUGGCCGCGCGGCUGAGGCACCUGGGAAUCCGCAUCCGGAGCGUCGAGGAGGACGAGCGCUGCGUGAUCCCCAUGGGCGGGCCGCUGCCCGUGCUGCCGCAGAGGGUGGUGGGCAUCGGCGGCACGGCCGGGAUGGUGCAUCCGUCCACAGGGUACAUGGUGGCGCGCACAUUGGCGACCGCGCCCAUCGUGGCAGACUCCAUCGUGCGGUUUCUAGACACCGGCAACGGCGGCAUCGCCGGGGACGCGCUCGCCGCCGAGGUGUGGAAGGAGCUGUGGCCGACGGACAGGCGGCGGCAGAGGGAAUUCUUCUGCUUCGGCAUGGACGUCCUGCUCAAGCUGGACCUCCAAGGUACACGACGGUUCUUCAACGCAUUCUUCGACCUCGAGCCGCACUACUGGCACGGCUUCCUCUCGUCGAGGCUGUUCCUGCCUGAGCUCUUGAUGUUUGGGCUCUCGCUGUUCGCGCACGCUUCCAACACGUCCAAGCUGGAGAUCAUGGCCAAGGGCACCGUGCCUCUUGCCAAGAUGGUCGGCAACUUGAUACAGGACAAGGAUAGGUGA
rnacentral:rRNA from 1 species